AUACAGAGGUGGCGAGCGUUGUUCGGAUUUACUGGGCGUAAAGGGCGCGUAGGCGGCGCCGCGUGUCGGGUGUGAAAUCCAUGGGCCCAACCCAUGAAGUGCGCCCGAAACUGCGGUGCUUGAGUGCGGGAGGGGAGGUCGGAAUGCAGGGUGUAGCGGUGAAAUGCGUUGAUAUCCUGCAGAACACCGGUGGCGAAGGCGGACCUCUGGAACGCAACUGACGCUGAGGCGCGAAAGUCGGGGGAGCAAACAGGAUUAGAUACCCUGGUAGUCCCGACCCUAAACGGUGUGCACUUGGGGUGGGGGGAUUUCACCCCCCCCGUCCCGGAGCUAACGCGUUAAGUGCACCGCCUGGGGAGUACGGCCGCAAGGUUAAA
rnacentral:rRNA from 1 species